GACGAACGCUGGCGGCGUGCUUAACACAUGCAAGUCGAACGGAAAGGCCCUGCUUGCAGGGUGCUCGAGUGGCGAACGGGUGAGUAACACGUGGGUGAUCUGCCCCUUACUUUGGGAUAAGCCUGGGAAACUGGGUCUAAUACUGGAUAGGACCAUGCUGUAGGUGGUGUGGUGGAAAGAUUAGUUUCGGUAAGGGAUGAGCUCGCGGCCUAUCAGCUUGUUGGUGGGGUAAUGGCCUACCAAGGCGUCGACGGGUAGCCGGCCUGAGAGGGUGGACGGCCACAUUGGGACUGAGAUACGGCCCAGACUCCUACGGGAGGCAGCAGUGGGGAAUAUUGCACAAUGGGCGCAAGCCUGAUGCAGCGACGCCGCGUGGGGGAUGACGGCCUUCGGGUUGUAAACUCCUUUCAGCCAUGACGAAGCCCUUGUGGUGACGGUAGUGGAAGAAGAAGCACCGGCUAACUACGUG
rnacentral:rRNA from 1 species